GACGAACGCUGGCGGCGUGCUUAACACAUGCAAGUCGAACGGAAAGGCCCUGCUUUUGUGGGGUGCUCGAGUGGCGAACGGGUGAGUAACACGUGAGUAACCUGCCCUUGACUUUGGGAUAACUUCAGGAAACUGGGGCUAAUACCGGAUAGGAGCUCCUGCUGCAUGGUGGGGGUUGGAAAGUUUCGGCGGUUGGGGAUGGACUCGCGGCUUAUCAGCUUGUUGGUGGGGUAGUGGCUUACCAAGGCAUUGACGGGUAGCCGGCCUGAGAGGGUGACCGGCCACAUUGGGACUGAGAUACGGCCCAGACUCCAACGGGAGGCAGCGGUGGGGAAUAUUGCACAAUGGGCGGAAGCCUGAUGCAGCAACGCCGCGUGCGGGAUGACGGCCUUCGGGUUGUAAACCGCUUUCGCCUGUGACGAAGCGUGAGUGACGGUAAUGGGUAAAGAAGCACCGGCUAACUACGUG
rnacentral:rRNA from 1 species